CGCAGCCGCGGUAAUUCCAGCUCCAAUAGCGUAUAUUAAAGUUGUUGCAGUUAAAAAGCUCGUAGUUGAAUUUCGGGGUCAGUAGAUUGGUCGUGCCACUGGUAUGUACUGGUCUUACUGGCUCCUCCUUCCUGAUGAACCGUAAUGCCAUUAAUUUGGUGUUGCGGGGAGACUGGACUGUUACUUUGAAAAAAUUAGAGUGUUUAAAGCAGGCUAACGCUUGAAUACAUUAGCAUGGAAUAAUGAAAUAGGACGUUCGAUCUUAUUUUGUUGGUUUCUAAGAUUGACGUAAUGAUUAAUAGGGAUAGUUGGGGGCAUUAGUAUUCAAUUGUCAGAGGUGAAAUUCUUGGAUUUAUUGAAGACUAACUACUGCGAAAGCAUUUGCCAAGGAUGUUUUCAUUAAUCAAGAACGAAAGUUAGGGGAUCGAAGACGAUCAGAUACCGUCGUAGUCUUAACCAUAAACUAUGCCGACUAGGGAUCGGAUGAUGUUAAUUUUUUAAUGACUCAUUCGGCGCCUUA
rnacentral:rRNA from 1 species